UGUGCCUGGCAGAGGAAAUGGUGCAGGCAGAAGCCUGUCGGGGUCUCCCAGCUGCUCGCUGAAGCUGAGUGUGGAGUAUGAGGCUGCAGAAAAAAGCUUUAGGUUCGCCCUCUCGAACUCCCCCCUACCUCUGCCCUAAGAGGGGUGGCUCCUCUAACCCUGCCGAGCCCCGCGUGGAAACCACAAUUAACCCUGCCACUGAGUGUGGCCUGUGUGCUGGGCACCGUCGUUAAGAACAGUGCAGCAUACUUGAAGUCAUUCAAUCCCCACAACAGCCCUCUUCCUCCCCUUUUACAGACGAGGAAACUGAGGUGCACAGAGCUUAGAUAUCUUAGUUGAGAUCACCCAGCCAGGGAGGGGGAAGCCAAAUUUGAACACGAGCUGGCUAGCCCUAGCACCCGCCAGGUGUAUAACCACUGAACCCCCUGGCUAUAUCCGCAGAAAGUCUCAGCAUGGCCCAGGGCCCCUGCCUGCUGUAGGCUGCCAGCCUUGCUGGGAAAUAGCUGAUGGAGACCCCCCCCCGUGGGCCCCUUCUGCCAAGCAGGUGGCUGUGCCACCUCCCACUGCCCAGGGGUGGUUGACCGGGCAUCUUCGCAGGUCGCUGGGACAUCCUGAAGUGUUCGGAGCUGGGAGGGCCCGUGGUGACCAUCCAGGCCAAACUCCUCACUGUGCUGAUGGGGAAAUGAACCCUGGAGGCUGAGUGUCCCAGGCCUUUGGUCAGAUGGGGCUGAGCUAAGACUAGAGCCCAGGGAAGGCGGGGUGGCCCUCGGGGCCCUCAGAGCAGGGCAGCACCAUGGCCCUGCUCAGCGGAAGGACUAGGGCUGUUGGCCCCUCUGGCUUGGAGGUGGGGUAUAGCUUUCAGCAGCCUCUGCCUCCUCUUCCUAGGUCUCCUCUGUGCUCUUCCCUGCCGCUCCCCACCCUGUGGAGCCCCUUUCCUCAGUUCAAGGCCUGGAGGACAUGACGCCACAAGGCGGGGCCUGGGAGGUGGGCACCUCCCACUGCACCUCAGCACCCACAGCCUGGGGCCACCACCUGGGGCCCGUGGCACUUUCCCCAAGUGUCAAGGGGGAGUGGUCCAGCCCUCCGCUGGGCCCUGAGUGUCACUGUUGUUUGUUGGGGCAAGUGGGGGAGGCCCCAGGCCCCAUCACUCCUCUGGGCAGUGCUGGCCUUGGCCCGUCAGUGUUGCAGGAAGGGUGCUCCCCGUCCCAUCACCCCUCAGGCUCCAAAUAAGGCUGAGGCUGUGGCCUGACUCCUGAGAAGGAGUCUCACAGAGACACACUGCUCUUUUACUAGUAAUAAUAAGGGCAGGUGGCUGACAUUGGCUGAGCACUUACUGUGCCAGGCACUGUUCUAAAGGCUUUACAUAUUAGUCACUCUUUAAUCCUUGUAUUAACUCUACGAGGUAGGUGCUAGGGUCACCAUCCCACCCAUUUUACAGAUGUGGAAGCUGAGGCCCAGAGGGCCUUAGUUACUUGUCAAAUGUCACACAGCCAAUAUUAGAAACCAGGCAGCCUGGCUCUGGAGCCCCAGCUGUGGGCUGUCACGCUGUGCUACCUCAAGAGCACUGAAUUCAGCGUCCCCCUCGUUGGGCCCCAUCAUUGUGCAGAUGGGGACACAGGCCCGGGGGGGGGGGCAGGGUUAGGCGCAGACUCCCUGUGCAGUGCUCCUUUCACUCCACCACCAGCCUCGGCAAGCCAAGGGAGCAGUCACAAGUGACUCUGUCCCCAGGGACGUUGAUCCUGCCUCUGAGUCCUCUAAAGUCUCCGGGGAUGGAGGCUAGUCUGGGCCAAGGCUCCCCCUGCUCCCUAUAGGCCUCUGCCCUCACUGCCUCUAAUCUGGCCUCCAGUCAGCAGCUAGAGUGAUCUCUCAGAACCUGCCCAGAGAGGGACUGCUUCUGCCCAGCGUCACACAGCUUAUUUCUGGAGCCCUUGGAGCCACCGCUGCAGGGAUGUCCCAGGUGUGGCCCAGCAUCCAGAACUGCAUCCAUGGUGUCAGCCUCAGGGCACCCCUGACACUGCGGACAAAAAAAAGUUGCCUGCCAUCCUGGUAAACGAUGAAUGUUGCCCGCCAUCAAGCCAUCAGCCACUGUAGCCCCCGCUACGACGUGCCCUGAGGGGAAUUCAAGAUGGAGAAAAACUGGAUACUGGCCCUGAUAGUUAAGCAAAAACUCCUAUAAAUGUAUCCUGGCUCCACCCUGACCUCUUUGGAACAGUUCCCGAGCUAUCUGAGAGGCUGUCUCCCAGGCUAUAGUCCUCAGCAA